AGUCGAGGGGUAUAAGGAGCUUGCUCCUUAGAGACCGGCGCACGGGUGCGUAACGCGUAUGCAAUCUACCUUUCACAGAGGGAUAGCCCAGAGAAAUUUGGAUUAAUACCUCAUAGUAUAUAUGGAUGGCAUCAUUUGUAUAUUAAAGUCACAACGGUGAAAGAUGAGCAUGCGUCCCAUUAGCUAGUUGGUAAGGUAACGGCUUACCAAGGCGACGAUGGGUAGGGGUCCUGAGAGGGAGAUCCCCCACACUGGUACUGAGACACGGACCAGACUCCUACGGGAGGCAGCAGUGAGGAAUAUUGGUCAAUGGGCGCAAGCCUGAACCAGCCAUGCCGCGUGCAGGAUGAAGCAUCUAUGGUGUGUAAACUGCUUUUGUACGGGAAGAAACAGAGGUUCGUGAACCUCCUUGACGGUACCGUAAGAAUAAGGAUCGGCUAACUCCGUGCCAGCAGCCGCGGUAAUACGGAGGAUCCAAGCGUUAUCCGGAAUCAUUGGGUUUAAAGGGUCCGUAGGCGGUUUGGUAAGUCAGUGGUGAAAGCCCAUCGCUCAACGGUGGAACGGCCAUUGAUACUGCCAGACUUGAAUUACUAGGAAGUAACUAGAAUAUGUAGUGUAGCGGUGAAAUGCUUAGAUAUUACAUGGAAUACCAAUUGCGAAGGCAGGUUACUACUAGUGGAUUGACGCUGAUGGACGAAAGCGUGGGUAGCGAACAGGAUUAGAUACCCUGGUAGUCCACGCCGUANACGAUGGAUACUAGCUGUUCGGNAGCAAUACUGAGUGGCUAAGCGAAAGUGAUAAGUAUCCCACCUGGGGAGUA
rnacentral:rRNA from 1 species